UACGUAGGGUGCAAGCGUUGUCCGGAUUUAUUGGGCGUAAAGAGCUCGUAGGCGGUUUGUCGCGUCUGCUGUGAAAACUGGGGGCUCAACCCCCAGCCUGCAGUGGGUACGGGCAGACUGGAGUACUGCAGGGGAGACUGGAAUUCCCGGUGUAGCGGUGAAAUGCGCAGAUAUCGGGAGGAACACCGAUGGCGAAGGCAGCCCCCUGGGUCAAGCACGUGACG
rnacentral:rRNA from 1 species